GCACGUCCCGCGUCGCUGGCGGGGGGCGACCGCUGCUUCCCCAAAGGGCCCGCCUGCAUCCCCGGGGAAGGCACCUACUGCACAAAGCCGCGGGUUUCCCUGGUGCAGUCAAGCAAAACGCUGAGUUACCGGAUGCCGACUGCAAGACGCUUUUUUCAUACGGGUUUUUUUUCCACAGCAGUGGCCCGAACCUGUGUGCUUUGCAUCAAAGGAGCUUCAGGUUUGCUAGGGCUACAGGAUGAGCGCAUUGUGUAUUUACCAAACAAAUGCAGCGGCAUUUGCUUUUUGAUGGGCAUACAGGCAAAAUUUAGGAUUAGGCUCUUUGUGGUGCAAAGGUUGGGCCCUUCACUACUGCCGGUGUAAAAUAAAAUGGCUGAGAACACCACCGGCCAAGCGGCGUCAUUUGCACAGCACCAUGGAGACAUCUCAGCUAGAGACCUCCCCUGCAUCCCAGCUCUGCCCUUCGAGCUGCGAGUACCGUCGACUGCUUGACAGGUCAUCAGAACUCCCAUAAAUACCACCUCAAGAUUUAUGGUAGGCCUAGCGAAGGUGCCGAGUCCAUGCAGCCCGACUUACAAGUCCACAGGCAGUGGCCCCGAAGUGCAAGAACCACGGCAUUUCUCCCUGCAAGAACAGAAGAGCAAGAUGUGAUGUCAGCCUCGUUCUCACUGGAACUGGUGACUGUUUGGGCACUGAUGCCACUCAGAACAAGCCGGCUCAGCACUUUCCCCAGCCCCUCGGAGGAAAGGAAACGAAACAAUGAGCCUAAAUGAAGGAAGUGCUUUUUCCAGUGUCUAAACUGAGCACUUCCACCAACCACCUUCAUGCUGACCACAAAACCUACACUAAAGCGGAGAAGAGAGCUGACCCCAGCACAGUUCUCUACUGACAAGGCAGAAAGCUGAACUGCUGCAUCUCAAGGUGAUCUGCAAAUACGGUUUACCCAAACAGUGAUAGCCCGAGCCCUCAACAGCGUUUCGGUGCCCAGCUUUCACUGGCGUCCCACGGCAACGCGAGGAGAAUCCCACGCUCCCACAAAACACAUACUCUGCGUUUUCCACUGCAUUCCUGGGUAUGGCGAUGAGGAUCUGAAAAGAAAACAUCACGUCAGCUGCGAUCCUUCUGAGCAGGAAAACACAACCUGAAUUCUGGCCUCCUGAAUGCAGAAGGAGCUCAGAUGGAGUCUCGGGUACUUUCAAGGACUGCUCGCUCUUCAGUUGCUCUGGCUCACCUUGGGUAUUUCCAGAAGAUAUUCCAGAAGCAAUUUUCUGGUAGAUCUGGAUUUCACCCUAGAUUUUUGCAGGACAAAUGAUCUAAGAAACUGUACGGUGCAAAAAGUAAAUGCCAAAAAACCCAGAAAAAAUAGCUACAAGUACCUAACUGAUGGGAAAAACGACUAUAUACAUGUUCUCAGUAUGUAAAAUACAAUUUAUUUUAUUUAGGCCAUUCAUAAGUAUCAACACAAUGUAUUAUGUUUGAAACAAACAUCUUACCAAUAAAUACUAUCUAAACA